UUAAGCGACUAAGCGUACACGGUGGAUGCCCUGGCAGUCAGAGGCGAUGAAGGACGUGCUAAUCUGCGAAAAGCGUCGGUAAGGUGAUAUGAACCGUUAUAGCCGGCGAUGUCCGAAUGGGGAAACCCAGUGUGAUUCGUCACACUAUCGUUAACUGAAUACAUAGGUUAACGAGGCGAACCGGGGGAACUGAAACAUCUAAGUACCCCGAGGAAAAGAAAUCAACCGAGAUUCCCCCAGUAGCGGCGAGCGAACGGGGAGCAGCCCAGAGUCUGAAUCAGCUUGUGUGUUAGUGGAACGGUCUGGAAAGUCCGACGGUACAGGGUGAUAGUCCCGUACACCAAAAUGCACAGGCUGUGAACUCGAAGAGUAGGGCGGGACACGUGGUAUCCUGUCUGAAUAUGGGGGGACCAUCCUCCAAGGCUAAAUACUCCUGACUGACCGAUAGUGAACCAGUACCGUGAGGGAAAGGCGAAAAGAACCCCGGCGAGGGGAGUGAAAAAGAACCUGAAACCGUGUACGUACAAGCAGUGGGAGCACCUUCGGGUGUGACUGCGUACCUUUUGUAUAAUGGGUCAGCGACUUAUAUUCUGUAGCAAGGUUAACCGUAUAGGGGAGCCGCAGGGAAACCGAGUCUUAACUGGGCGUUAAGUUGCAGGGUAUAGACCCGAAACCCGGUGAUCUAGCCAUGGGCAGGUUGAAGGUUGGGUAACACUAACUGGAGGACCGAACCGACUAAUGUUGAAAAAUUAGCGGAUGACUUGUGGCUGGGGGUGAAAGGCCAAUCAAACCGGGAGAUAGCUGGUUCUCCCCGAAAGCUAUUUAGGUAGCGCCUCGUGAAUUCAUCUUCGGGGGUAGAGCACUGUUUCGGCUAGGGGGUCAUCCCGACUUACCAACCCGAUGCAAACUACGAAUACCGAAGAAUGUUAUCACGGGAGACACACGGCGGGUGCUAACGUCCGUCGUGAAGAGGGAAACAACCCAGACCGCCAGCUAAGGUCCCAAAGUCAUGGUUAAGUGGGAAACGAUGUGGGAAGGCACAGACAGCCAGGAUGUUGGCUUAGAAGCAGCCAUCAUUUAAAGAAAGCGUAAUAGCUCACUGGUCGAGUCGGCCUGCGCGGAAGAUGUAACGGGGCUAAACCAUGCACCGAAGCUGCGGCAGCGACACUAUGUGUUGUUGGGUAGGGGAGCGUUCUGUAAGCCUGCGAAGGUGACCUGUGAGGGUUGCUGGAGGUAUCAGAAGUGCGAAUGCUGACAUAAGUAACGAUAAAGCGGGUGAAAAGCCCGCUCGCCGGAAGACCAAGGGUUCCUGUCCAACGUUAAUCGGGGCAGGGUGAGUCGACCCCUAAGGCGAGGCCGAAAGGCGUAGUCGAUGGGAAACAGGUUAAUAUUCCUGUACUUGGUGUUACUGCGAAGGGGGGACGGAGAAGGCUAUGUUAGCCGGGCGACGGUUGUCCCGGUUUAAGCAUGUAGGCUGGUUAUCCAGGCAAAUCCGGAUAAUCAAGGCUGAGGUGUGAUGACGAGGCACUACGGUGCUGAAGUAACAAAUGCCCUGCUUCCAGGAAAAGCCUCUAAGCAUCAGGUAACAUCAAAUCGUACCCCAAACCGACACAGGUGGUCAGGUAGAGAAUACCAAGGCGCUUGAGAGAACUCGGGUGAAGGAACUAGGCAAAAUGGUGCCGUAACUUCGGGAGAAGGCACGCUGGUGUGUAGGUGAAGUCCCUGCGGAUGGAGCUGAGACCAGUCGAAGAUACCAGCUGGCUGCAACUGUUUAUUAAAAACACAGCACUGUGCAAACACGAAAGUGGACGUAUACGGUGUGACGCCUGCCCGGUGCCGGAAGGUUAAUUGAUGGGGUUAUCCGUAAGGAGAAGCUCUUGAUCGAAGCCCCGGUAAACGGCGGCCGUAACUAUAACGGUCCUAAGGUAGCGAAAUUCCUUGUCGGGUAAGUUCCGACCUGCACGAAUGGCGUAAUGAUGGCCAGGCUGUCUCCACCCGAGACUCAGUGAAAUUGAACUCGCUGUGAAGAUGCAGUGUACCCGCGGCAAGACGGAAAGACCCCGUGAACCUUUACUAUAGCUUGACACUGAACAUUGAGCCUUGAUGUGUAGGAUAGGUGGGAGGCUUUGAAGCGUGGACGCCAGUCUGCGUGGAGCCAACCUUGAAAUACCACCCUUUAAUGUUUGAUGUUCUAACGUUGGCCCCUGACCGGGGUUGCGGACAGUGUCUGGUGGGUAGUUUGACUGGGGCGGUCUCCUCCCAAAGCGUAACGGAGGAGCACGAAGGUUAGCUAAUCCUGGUCGGACAUCAGGAGGUUAGUGCAAUGGCAUAAGCUAGCUUGACUGCGAGCGUGACGGCGCGAGCAGGUGCGAAAGCAGGUCAUAGUGAUCCGGUGGUUCUGAAUGGAAGGGCCAUCGCUCAACGGAUAAAAGGUACUCCGGGGAUAACAGGCUGAUACCGCCCAAGAGUUCAUAUCGACGGCGGUGUUUGGCACCUCGAUGUCGGCUCAUCACAUCCUGGGGCUGAAGUAGGUCCCAAGGGUAUGGCUGUUCGCCAUUUAAAGUGGUACGCGAGCUGGGUUUAGAACGUCGUGAGACAGUUCGGUCCCUAUCUGCCGUGGGCGCUGGAGAAUUGAGGGGGGCUGCUCCUAGUACGAGAGGACCGGAGUGGACGCAUCACUGGUGUUCGGGUUGUCAUGCCAAUGGCACUGCCCGGUAGCUAAAUGCGGAAGAGAUAAGUGCUGAAAGCAUCUAAGCACGAAACUUGCCCCGAGAUGAGUUCUCCCUGAGACUUUAAGUCUCCUGAAGGAACGUUGAAGACGACGACGUUGAUAGGCCGGGUGUGUAAGCGCAGCGAUGCGUUGAGCUAACCGGUACUAAUGAACCGUGAGGCUUAACCU
rnacentral:rRNA from 1 species